ACGGCUCGGAAAUAUUAUAGGAACAAGAUAUAAUACUAUUUGACACAAAUCGGUCUUAAAUCACGUUUUCAACAAAAAGUAAAAUGAAUUUUGUUCUCGUAUCUAAUGAGGAUUUAGAGUUUUAAAAGUUGGAGUUCUGAUAAUAACUUGGUUUAUGGUUGCAUGGCCCUUUGGAUUCAAAGGUGAGCUAGAUGAUCUAAUCUUUACUUGUGUAAAGAAGAUAAGCAGGAGCUAAAUGUAGAGAAAGAGAAGAAGGCAAUAUCUUCACGCCUUUUUCUACCACGUCCUCCAACCGUGGUCUAUUUAUCUUGAAUUUUUAUGUAUGUUUUAAAGGGUUUCUACUAGAGACCUCGGGUCAGUCUUCUACCAUCAAAUUUUCAUUUUUUUUUUAAUCUUUGUUAAGAUUUCAUAUUGAUAGCAGGUAAAUAUCUUUUUACAUCAACAACUCAUACAAAUGUCAAAGAAUUAGCAAAAAAAAAACUCAUACAAAUGUUCUAUAGAAAUUGCAGCAAAAAUGUGAUUGGAGACUAAUGAUCGUACGUAAAGAAGAAAGAUCCUCCUACCUACAAAUAUUUUGUCAAAUGACUUAACACUACAAUUCUUUACUACCAUGAAAUAUGAUCAAACUUCAAGAAUAACUGGAAAGAUAGAAACUAUAGACCUGGCUCUAUCUACUACGAAGGACAGAUCCGCUGAAAAAGGAUCGGUCUUCGCCUAACCUAAAUAAAUGAAACAUGUUUUUUUUUGGUGCAAAUAAAUGAAACAUGUUAUGAAUUCGAUUUCUCGAGAGUUCCCAUGCAAACAUGAGGAAAACACCAAAAUCCUAAUGCUUGGGUUCAGAAAAGUGGAUUAUGUUUCGUCUUUGAUAAUAUCAAACAACUUUUUCUGUAGUACACAGAAAACAUUUUAACAUAUUAUAUUUGCAUGUAUUCAAAAUUUGAUAACACGUACGCGUGUGUAAUAAUUUUACUACGAGUAUACAUUCGUAAGUAUGUAACCAUUUGACUAAAUUACAUCAUCUGUCGGCUGUCGCACGUGUGUACAUAUGCAAAUGCAAAUAUACAUUUUUCUCCUAAGUUAAUGUACUUCCAUUUCGUUUAAAACGUUAUCUUACGUUAACUGUGCCGAACAAGAGAAAAUAAUAAUUCUUCACGUAAGGUAUCCGCCGUUUACACAUGUUCUCAUUUUUUUUUGUCAGCUACACAUGUUCUCAUUAAAACUAUAAAACCAAACUUCAAGAAAUCCAGCAGAAAGGGAGUCACAAAACUAUAAAUGCCCCAGAAAGAUGGUCAAUGGCGUAAAAAGCAAAUUGAGAUUCAAUCCGUACCGCUGUUAUUUCAUACAGUUUUUAACAUGUUUUCACACUAAGUUUCAGACACACUUUUAAUAAAGGAGUAUUUGUACGCUCUAUGCAAAUUACAUGUUUUUUUAAAAUCUCUUUGCUGUUAAGCAUUUAGUGUACAGCUGUUAUCUCUUCACCAUAUACUAAACUAAACUCUAUAGCAACUAGCAACCCAAAGAUGAUGCCACUCGUUUAUGUGACUCUUUGGCUUAUAGUCUUUUAGGUACAUUAGCCACUUCUUCUCUAACUAGUUUGAAAUUUAUAACGUUCUCCGACCGUUUACGGCUAAUGGGCCACCCAUGUCCGAUUUCUCGGUCUGUGGAUCUCAUACCGUCUGACGAGCAGUGCGUUAAUUUUUUAUGCUUUAGCCCGGAAUCACCACAUGACAUGACAUUUCUCCGUGCUUUAGCCUCACUCACAUGGUACCACAAAUCAUUUUUCGAUAGGUCACUCAUCCUUCCACUACUCCAGAUCAAGCACACUUAAGUCUGGAGUUUUAAACAGAUGUAUGACGAAAAAGGUAAGUCAAUUUUGAUGAUAUAAGUAGUCAAAUCAAUUCUCUUAAGCCUUUUCAUAUAUCACACUUCAUGAUGUUACAAUUCACCCCUUCUCAAAAAACCGUUGCGUCCCACGAAAGAUGUCUCUCGGAUCGAAACUGAGAUGGCUAACCAGAUCUGAUACCAUUUAUAAAGUCCUGAUCGUCCAUGGCUAAUGGGCCACCCACGUCCUUUCUCGGCCCGUGGAUCCAUCCCGUCUGACGGAAGGCUCCGACCGUCCAAGGCUAAUGGGCCACCCACGCCUCUUUCUCGGCUCGUGGGCCCCAUCCCGUCUCACGGGGGGUGCGUUAAUUUUUUCUGAAGCUUGAAAGUCAUGUUCACGGGGGAUGCAUUAAUUUUGGCCUCAUUUGCACAGUAAUCACUUUCUGAUAGAUCAUUCAUUCUUUUACUACUUUAAUCCAAAUACAUUUAACUCUAGAGUUUUAAACAGAUGUAUGUAACCAAAUCAAUUUUGUUAAACAUUUCUAUAUAUCACAACAACACGAGAUAUAUCACAACGAGGUGUUAAAAAAAUUUGAACUAUUAUCUUUAACGGAUAAACUAGAAUAAUUAUACUCUGUCAGUAGCAUAAUUUAAAAUCAACAUUUUGAGUUAAUAAGCGGCGAAAAUUAACCGCAAAUAGAGCCGAUUACUCAGUAAACGCGUGCAUGUUAGCACAUGAGCUUAGCCGCCCACAAAUCUCCAACCAAAUCUCUCUUUGUCCAUUAAAGUUAAUUUAUGUAGAUCUCACCAUUAUCUUCUACGUUUACUCCUCUAAUUUAUUAGUAUUACUUUUUAAUGCUACAUAUUAAUACUACGUCUACACUAUAUAACCAAGCUUAACUUUUUAUCAUGCGGCUGAAAUCACGUCUAGGAGAAAGCCAUCCUAACAUUGUUAUUAAUUAAUUAAUUAAUAAUAGGGAUUAGUGGAUUACAAUAGAAGAGUAAGAACAUCAAAGUUGGAUGGUGUCUGAUCGUUUCACCGACAUUUUUAACAUUUAAUUUUAUCUACGGCUCUGAAUGGUAACAGCGGGUUGGGCGGUGCGGGAUAAGCAGAUUAGUUAGUGCGGUGCGGUUUUACUGCGGUUUAUACAAGAGAAACGCAUACUGCGGAACAACUGCGGUUCGUCUAAGCGGUGCGGUUCAUAAUAAAAUAUGAAUGGUGACAAUGAAUAGUGCAACUGCGGGAUAGAUAUAAUGUAUUUUAUAAUUUAUAAACUAAAAUAUUAGUGAUACUAAUAUAAUCUUAAAAAUAUAUAUAUAUUAUUUUAAAAAUAUUUAUAUAGCUGAAAGAUGAAUUAUAUUUUUGGGUAUUUUGACAUAUAAACAAUACUUUUAUAUUAUUUAAUUAUUUUAAAACUAAAUAUGUUAAAUUUAUAAAUAUAUAAACUAUAAAAAUUUGGAUAUCCAUUCGGUUCUCGGUUCAGUUCUAAUUUUUCAGUUCUAGAGAUAUAAGUCUACUAGUAUAAUUGACAAGAUUCAAACCCGAACAAAACUUUAUUUCCAGUUUGAUUUUUUGAUUCCGGAUAAAUGUGUCCAAACCUAUAUUUACUACCAUCAAAUCUUAACACGCAUCUGAAAUAAGUACUUAAAAUCUAUACUAUAGUGAAUAUAUUUUUAAAUAUUAACUAUAUUUAGUUUUAUAAUAUUUGUUAUAGUUUCAAAAUACAACUUAUAGUUUUUUGAUGAAAAAAGUAUUUUUAGUAAAAUUAAAUUUUAUCACCCAAAUAAUACACAUUUAUUUUUAUAUAUUAUAUAAAUACAAUAUCAAUGAAAGGUAUUUUGUACUAUGUUCUUCAUAUUUAAUAAGUAAUAAAUAAAAUAAAUUUAUCUAUAUUAAUUUAGCAUUUAUAUCUGUAAGAUUAUACUAAUUUUUCUUUGGAAAAGAAAGGUACAAUAAACAAGGAAAGAUAGAAAAGAAAAUUAUAUUUUAAUAUGUGUUUUGACUAUUUAGAGAUUAAAAAUAAUAAAAACAAAGUUUUCUGUGAUAAUAUACCUCUAGCUACAAUUUUGAUUUCGUUAACUAGAUAAUACACAGUUAAAAUAUUUUUUUCGCAUAUUAUAUAGAUAAAUAUUAAGGGUUGAAUAUAGGUUUUUGUCUUUUGACACCAAAAGGUAAUAAAAAUAAAUAUGCAUUUUCAUGAUGGCCGUGUAUGCUGUAGUAUAACAAAAAUCGAGUAGUAUAAUAUAAAAUACUUUAGAUAACAUGAAAUAUAUUUGCUUUGAAAACACACAUCUUAUAUAAACCACACCUAAAAUCAUGCAUGUGCGUUACAAGGUGCGUUCCAAGAUAUUCUUAACCCGCACUUCUUCUUUUACAAUUUAUUUAUUAUUUUAUUUAUGAAAAACAGUGGCAAUACAAUUAGCUGAAUGGUGACCCAUUUUCCCUCCCGCCAUGCGGUACACUUGUCCCGCCGUUAACAUUCAUAGCCUACGUAUUCGUAUCCUCAUUCAUUCCUAUCUAAAAGCAUUCAUAUUCUAAUUUAUUUUUCGGAUAAAACAGAAAACUCGAACAAUAUAUAAUAAUUAAUUAAUUAAUAUAUUUAUAUGUACCUGAUGUCAUUGAUUAUAGAAUUCCGAAAUUCCAAAACCCUUUACUCUGUUUACAAAGUGGAUUUCCUCUAGAUUUCCACUUACAUUCUACUUGGUCCUAAUUAUAUUGAAAUUUACUUAAGAUAUUUUUUUGUUCCUUCAGAAGGAGGAAGGGUCAAGUGGGAAGCUGCUAGUCCUCUUUCGAAAUUUGGUCAGUGUAUUUAGUUAGUUAAAGCUAACCAUCGCCUAAUCUUCUUUUCUCUCAAUUAAAUAAUCUACGAUAAGAGCAUGACUGGUUUCCCUGCUAUCAUCCACAAACGCAAUUUUUGCGGUUGAUAGCGGUUGUUGACGUUUUCCAACGAUCACUCAAACCGUUCUAAAUCGUUUUAAACCACUUUAAACCGCUUUAAACCGCUUUCAACUUUUUAAAUUCAAAAGUUGGUUACAACUAUCCUUUGUGGGAGGAUAAUUUUUUCUUUCUUUUUUUUUUAAACAAUAUAAUACAAAAAUAAAAAUAAAAACAAAAAAAAUUAAAUUGAAAUAA